rnacentral:rRNA from 1 species
GAUGAACGCUGGCGGCGUGCCUAAUACAUGCAAGUCGAGCGAACGGACGAGAAGCUUGCUUCUCUGAUGUUAGCGGCGGACGGGAGUAACACGUGGAUAACCUACCUAUAAGACUGGGAUAACUUCGGGAAACCGGAGCUAAUACCGGAUAAUAUUUUGAACCGCAUGGUUCAAAAGUGAAAGACGGUCUUGCUGUCACUUAUAGAUGGAUCCGCGCUGCAUUAGCUAGUUGGUAAGGUAACGGCUUACCAAGGCAACGAUGCAUAGCCGACCUGAGAGGGUGAUCGGCCACACUGGAACUGAGACACGGUCCAGACUCCUACGGGAGGCAGCAGUAGGGAAUCUUCCGCAAUGGGCGAAAGCCUGACGGAGCAACGCCGCGUGAGUGAUGAAGGUCUUCGGAUCGUAAAACUCUGUUAUUAGGGAAGAACAUAUGUGUAAGUAACUGUGCACAUCUUGACGGUACCUAAUCAGAAAGCCACGGCUAACUACGUG